UACGGAGGGUGCGAGCGUUGUCCGGAAUCACUGGGCGUAAAGGGCGCGUAGGCGGCCUGAUAAGUAGGGGGUGAAAUCCUGCGGCUUAACCGCAGGGCUGCCUUCUAAACUGUCGGGCUAGAGCACGGUAGAGGCAGAUGGAAUUCCCGGUGUAGCGGUGGAAUGCGUAGAGAUCGGGAAGAACAUCAGUGGCGAAGGCGGGUCUCUGGACAGUUCCUGACGCUGAGGCACGAAGGUCAGGGGAGCAAACGGG
rnacentral:rRNA from 1 species